GAUUAAGUGAUUAAACAUCCUUCCAUGACUUGAAAACCUAAACUUUUUUCAAAGUCUUCUAUAUAGAUUACAUCUACCACUAACUAUCUCGUUAAGAACGAGUAUUCAAGGACAUACUCAUGACGCGGAUUGUAUUUCGAACACUGACCAUCAUUUUGUAGAUAAAAAUAAAACUCUAUCUCAAGCUAGGAGUUGAUAAAAAGCGCUAUAGAAGAAUGCUUCAAAACAAUCCCGUAGAUAUUGACGGAGGCCAAAUCCACCCGUCGGGCCGUUCAUCUGUAGGUGUCCUUAAUUGAAUAGUUGAGGGGCUUGUCAUGAUAUCCUUAGGCAUGACUUGUAAGGGGGACAUUAUCAUGUCCGAGGGUAUCGUUACUGCAUAAAACCAAGUCCGUAAACGAGCAUAUUAGAGUGAUUUCUCCCUCGGUAAAAGUAACAAUGGCAUGGCCGACAAUUUUAAUCCAGACGAACGGAUCCUGAACUAGAACCAUGGUUAGGUAUUGCUAGUUUCAGCUUAGCACUCGGAUAAUUACUUCGUUUAAGUUACUUUGUUGUUGACCAUGGCAUAUCUUCCCCGGUAUUUGACCUCUCAGAACUGGUUAAGCUUUCUAGUAAACCACAUCAACUUUAUUGUCUUAACCUUGAACAAACCAGUUCAUUCCCUUUGAGUUAGUUUAAGUAUUGACGGAGUUAUCUUAGAAAAGGAAGAAAAAAAAACAGAUUUAUAAGUCAAUUCUGGUAAGGUUCCGAGGAAAAGCGGUACGUAUUUGAUU
rnacentral:rRNA from 1 species